rnacentral:rRNA from 1 species
AUUGAACGCUGGCGGAAUGCUUUACACAUGCAAGUCGAACGGCAGCACGGACUUCGGUCUGGUGGCGAGUGGCGAACGGGUGAGUAACAUAUCGGAACGUAUCCAAUAAUGGGGGAUAACUAAUCGAAAGGUUGGCUAAUACCGCAUACGCCCUAUGGGGGAAAGCUAGGGACCUUCGGGCCUGGCGUUAAUGGAGCGGCCGAUAUCUGAUUAGCUAGUUGGUGGGGUAAAGGCCCACCAAGGCGACGAUCAGUAGCUGGUUUGAGAGGGAGACCAGCCAGACUGGAAAUAGGACACGGUCCAGACGCCUACGGGAGGCAGCAGUGGGGAAUUUUGGACAAUGGGCGCUAGCCUGAUCCAGCCAUUCCGCGUGAGUGAAGAAGGCCUUCGGGUUGUAAAGCUCUUUCGCAAGGGAAGAAAACUUAGCCACUAACAUUGGCUGAGGUUGACGGUACCUUGAUAAGAAGCACCGGCUAACUACGUGCCAGCCGCCGCCGUAA